AUUGAACGCUGGCGGCAGGCUUAACACAUGCAAGUCGAGCGGAGCGAGGGUGCUUGCACCUUAGCUUAGCGGCGGACGGGUGAGUAAUGCUUAGGAAUCUGCCUAUUAGUGGGGGACAACAUCUCGAAAGGGAUGCUAAUACCGCAUACGUCCUACGGGAGAAAGAAGGGGAUCACUUGUGACCUUGCGCUAAUAGAUGAGCCUAAGUCGGAUUAGCUAGUUGGUGGGGUAAAGGCCUACCAAGGCGACGAUCUGUAGCGGGUCUGAGAGGAUGAUCCGCCACACUGGGACUGAGACACGGCCCAGACUCCUACGGGGGGCAGCAGUGGGGAAUAUUGGACAAUGGGGGGAACCCUGAUCCAGCCAUGCCGCGUGUGUGAAGAAGGCCUUAUGGUUGUAAAGCACUUUAAGCGAGGAGGAGGCUCUUUUGGUUAAUACCCAGAAUGAGUGGACGUUACUCGCAGAAUAAGCACCGGCUAACUCUGUGCCAGCCGCCGCAGUAAGAC
rnacentral:rRNA from 1 species